GUGGGGAAUAUUGGGCAAUGGGCGAAAGCCUGACCCAGCAACGCCGCGUGAGGGAAGAAGGUUUUCGGAUUGUAAACCUCUGUCCUAUGGGAAGAAGGAAGUGACGGUACCAUAGGAGGAAGCCCCGGCUAACUACGUGCCAGCAGCCGCGGUAAUACGUAGGGGGCGAGCGUUGUCCGGAAUGACUGGGCGUAAAGGGCGCGUAGGCGGCCUGAUAAGUCUGGAGUGAAAGUCCUGCUUUCAAGGUGGGAAUUGCUUUGGAGACUGUCGGGCUUGAGUGCGGAAGAGGUAAGUGGAAUUCCCAGUGUAGCGGUGAAAUGCGUAGAGAUUGGGAAGAACACCAGUGGCGAAGGCGACUUACUGGGCCGUAACUGACGCUGAUGCGCGAAAGCGUGGGGAGCGAACAGGA
rnacentral:rRNA from 1 species